GACGAACGCCGGCGGCGUGCUUAACACAUGCAAGUCGAACGCUGAAGCUCAGCUUUUGUUGGGUGGAUGAGUGGCGAACGGGUGAGUAACACGUGAGUAACCUGCUUCCUUCUUUGGGAUAACGCCCGGAAACGGGUGCUAAUACUGGAUAUUCACUGGUCUUCGCAUGGGGGUUGGUGGAAAGGGUUUUUCUGGUGGGGGAUGGGCUCGCGGCCUAUCAGCUUGUUGGUGGGGUGAUGGCCUACCAAGGCUUUGACGGGUAGCCGGCCUGAGAGGGUGACCGGUCACAUUGGGACUGAGAUACGGCCCAGACUCCUACGGGAGGAAGCAGUGGGGAAUAUUGCACAAUGGGCGCAAGACUGAUGCAGCGACGCCGCGUGAGGGAUGGAGGCCUUCGGGUUGUGAACCUCUUUCGCUCAUGGUCAAGCCGCAACAAUGGUUGUGGUGAGGGUAGUGGGUAAAGAAGCGCCGGCUAACUACGUG
rnacentral:rRNA from 1 species